AGCAAAAGGACAGGUAAAAAAAAUCACAGUGGGGUAGAUUUUAAUCAAACUUUCUUCAUGGUUUGAAUACCUAAGAUCAUUGGUGUUAAGAAGUGUAACAGUCUAGUGAUGUUAAAAUAGUACUUUCUGAUGAAUGAAGAGAGUAAAUAAAUGAGCUGUUUAUUGUAGUUAACAUAAAAAUACAAAAAACAGUUAUGAUCCAGGUAAUGAUUUGUUAAGUUGGGUUUUUUAUUUCCAGUAGUGAUAGACAUGAAUUCCAGAAAGUAAGGGAGACAAUUUAGGUUGUCUAUUUUCCCCGCUUAAUUACACCCUUUGAAUAUAUUAUCUGAAUUCAUUUAAACUGUUCUGAACAUAUUACU
rnacentral:lncRNA from 1 species